GGCACCCUGGGCCUUUGCGUUGUUUGUCGGCUGAGCAGCUGGUUCCCGGAGCCCGUGGGCCUCCUGGCCAAUGCGAGUGACAGCGACCUUCUGGGUUUAUAAUAAAGGGCUUGACGCGCCGGAAAGUCCCCUCGCCGCUGGCCACCAGCCUUCCAGCCCUUACGGCCCACGCCGUAAUCCUGGUGACCGAGAAGCUCUUUGCCUGGAAGGUGCCUGCCUGCCUGCCUGCCGGCCCUUGAACUUAAAUCGUCUGAAGUUGUAGAGCAGAGCCACUGCCAGAAGGAAGGGGACAAGACCCAGCAGGACACCUUCUUUCCACGCUUUCCAGCCUGUGGGAGCGGCAGGGGCAACAGAGAGAGGAUCUGGAGCCAGGAUUAAUGACUCAUUUAUGAAGCAUCUUAUUCUGCGACCGAGGCUCAGUGGUCAGUGGCGACGUAAAUGGCUCGACUCCCCGCUGGCAUUCGCUUCAUCAUCUCAUUCUCCAGGGAUCAGUG
rnacentral:lncRNA from 10 species